CGCACCGUCUUCACAGUCGAGAGACCUUCGUCAGAUACGUACAGGUGACGUAGCCGGUCCGAGUGGGACAGCUGGUGAGGAACGGGUCUAGCAUACGAUAGAGCUUUCCGUCCCGUGGUUUGGUUUAUCUACCCUUACUCUUCAUGAUUAAAUAAAUAACUAACUUAGACAUAUUAUGGUUCAGUUUUAUUUUACUAUUUGGAUA